ACACACACACACACACACACACACACACACACACACACACACACACACACACACACACACACACACACACACACACACACUCGCAGGAGCUCAUACACAGCGUAAAGGAAGGAGACGAGGUCAGGGCCACGGUGCUCCUCGCCGGGGGAGGAGACCCCAAGGUGACCGUCCCCGUUGCCACAGGUGGGUCGUGGUGCCUGGUGGCCCUGGCUGCCCAUCAUGGCCACGCCCACCUCCUGCCCUGCCUGCUGGGGGCGGGGCUCAGCGUGGAGGGCCGGGGCAGCGACGACCGAACACCACUGAUGCUGGCUGCCUGGCAGGGCCACACGAGAACGGUGCAGGACCUGCUGACCCUUGGCGCAGACCCGCUGGCUGCAGAUAAAGCAGAGCUGUGAAGUAUGGAGGAAAUCAAGAAUGCAGUUCAGAGUAUUCUUCCCAAUCUUCUUCCACAAGUACUGGAGGAAGCGUGUGAACACCUUAUAGGUUUAGGUGUUGAAACAGAAGAUGACCUAAAGUAUGUUAAGUCAUCUGAUCUUCCGAUGCUGAAGGACAUUCAAGUGCGGAAACUUAUUCAUAACUGGCAACAAGCCAACUGCAGCUAGACCUGAAUUGGAAAAGGACCUUCCCAAGACACCAUGUUUAAUAGGCUUUGGGGCAUCAAGGUUGACGGCAACCAGAUAUAUGUUGUCAAUUGAUGGUGUUGUUGUCACUGACCAUAUCGCAACAUUUACUACUGGGCUGGCUAUGCUGCUGGCCUCCUACUACAACUUCAAUAUAAUGUACCCUGUUGAUUCUGCAUCGACACUGGAGUUCAUUCAAAGAUGCUUUGUUGGCAUCAAUCCAGAGCGGGGCAGCAAGAUUGAAGUAAAGAAGCACUGCAAGAGACGCACCCAAGUCCAUCCCAGAGUUCUGUCCCUGAUUAAUGCUAUUGCUGAUGUAGAGUGGAGGUGCUAAAUCCACAAGGUGCUGUCAGCCAGUGGAGGGGAAGGAACUGGAAGGUGAUAGAAACUGAGCGCUACUCGACUGUAUCAAAGUACUCUCCAUGCCUGAUGAUGCACAGUGUAAUGAAAUGUCAACAAGUAAGUUUUUUUUUCUGGAAUGGUCCUUUGUAAUGAAACAUACA